GUCUAACUUAACAAUUCCAAAUACAAGCCAAACAGCUUGCCAGUGGCAACACCAUGAGCACUGCUCAAAACACCAUCUCAAAUUCAUUGGCAGAGGCCAUAAUUGUUUUACCUGUGCCAUUAGUCCCAAGAACAACUCUAAGGCCACCAUCCUGGAUAAUGGAAAGCCACCAUAAAUAUACUGCUGAAAUGGAUCGAUUCAAUUAAGAGAAAUUCAAGCCACCAUAAAUAUACUGCUGAAAUGGAUCGAUUCAAUUAAGAGAAAUUCUCCAUCUAUGCUUGAGCACCUCCCUGAUGACACCAACGAUAGAUUCAUUUUUGGCCCUGUGUACGCGAACCAAUGUGUCUGGCAUGAAAUAUGGUCCUUCAUUGUCCCCACCUGCAAUGCAAUGCAAUUUCUUAACCUGAUAUUGCAGACUAGUUCCCCAAGAAGCAGGA
rnacentral:misc_RNA from 1 species